UGGUGGAGCGAUUUGUCUGGUUAAUUCCGAUAACGUACGAGACUCUGGCCUAUUAAAUAGUUCGCCGAUUCCGAUCUGUCGGCGUUAACUUCUUAGAGGGACAAGUGGCUUUUAGCCACGCGAGAUUGAGCAAUAACA
rnacentral:rRNA from 1 species